AAAUUGGAUUUUAAUCUUACAUAUGGUUAUAAUCUAAAACUCAUCUUUUUUAGGGAUUAAAAUGAAGUUUUCUAUAUAUAAUUAUGCAUCAGAGGAGAUGAGACAUUCUGUCCUAUCUAGAGAAUAUGGCGAUGUAGUUUCAGUGAUCGCUUUCUGCCAUACAAUGUGCUCACAGAUGCCUGGUUUUUUUACAUAUAACUUUAAUAAAACUUUGAGUGAGAUUAAAGAAUUAGCUGGAGACUUACAGCUGCAACCAGAAUUUUUUUCUGCUUCAAAUCAGAAAAUUUCGAAGUUGAGGCGUAGUCGACAUGAAGAGCGUCGCAUGCUUCUUCAAAAUUUAGACCCCCUUUGGUAAUUAUUUUUAUUUUUAAUUUUUAAAUUUUUGUGUUUAAGAUAUGAAGAAAAUAUAUGGAAGAAAUGAGGGACGAAAAAGACAAUGAGAGCGAGAGAGAAGAAUUACAGAAGAAUAAAUGAAAAGAAAAUCUAGAAAGUUAAAACAAGGGGUGUGCUAUCCACACAUCUCAUUUUACUUCUCACACAUCCUUUGAUAAUUUCUGUCCAUUGAUCUUCUUCAAUUCAUUUGAUCUGACAGCCGAAAAUUAAAAAGGUGUGUGAGAAGUAAAAUUGAGUGUGGAUAUCAUAUCCCUAAAACAACUAUAGUUUUAGUUGUUGGUUUUUAGUUUUGAUUUGUGUCUCUAUCCUUGAAUGUUUAUUCUAUAUAUACCCAACAUUCUUCCUCCAUUCUAUUUUCUUCAUUUCUCUCAUGUAUUUUUCCUCUAUUUCAAACACAAAUAAUGUAGAUAAAAAAACUAAAAGUUAAAUAGUUAUCAAAUAAGAACCUCAAUUUUAGUAAGAGCCUAAUUCUAUUUCUAACUCAUUUUUCAAUAUUUUCCAUGAAAACUUGAAUGUUACACAUUGUUCUAAAAUUUCCCACUUAGCACCGCAUAAGUGCUAGGCAACUAGCCACCUCUCCUAUUAAUCCCUCGGCCUUUAAAAAUUAAGAAAGAGCAUAUGGACUUGCUUAGGGGUCCGCCUAAGUCGCAACUCUCAUUUGCACAGAAAAUAGAUAACUUUUAUUUUGCAUUUUAUUUUUUAUGUAAAUUGUACGAGACUUGUUGAAUAUUUGGAUGAAUACUCAUUAUAUGUUUGUUUCCCAUGUUUUCAAUAUGUCUAAUACUUUUUACUCUAUAGAGUUGUUUCUCAUGCUUUCAAUAUGUUAUAAUACUUUAUAAUUUAUAAAGUGAUGAUACACUUACUAUCUAUUUGUAUCAUCUCUUUAACAGAGGUAGGGUCCACCAUCAUAUGUGGGUCUCAUCCCUACUAGAGAGGUGGUCAAAAGAUGGUACAAGGUAAGAGUAAUAUUUUUGUAAUAUAUAUGUCCUAUUUUGCAAUUUAUCUAUUCCAAUAUAAUUAUGUAUUUUUUAAGUAUAAGUAGGCAUUUAUUUAUUUGUUAUUAUAUGUUAUAUAUUGAAUUUAAUUAAUAUUAAAAAAAAUGCCUUCCUGCCCGCCUAGACACCUAGACGCUAUACUAAGCCCGCUGCCCAACUAGCACAUUGUAGAACCUUGACGUUACCAAAGAGGUUUUAUUGAAAAAAAAAUGAAAAAAAAAAGUUAUACCUAGUGAGGGGACAUAAGAGCAAUUCCAUCCCUAAAAAAUGAGCUGACCCAAAGUUCAUUUAAUCCACCCAAAUGAAUAGUAAUUGACUGCAAUGAACAAUAUUUAGUCAAAUGCAUCUCGACCCCUAAAAAAUGAGCUAACCUAGAGUCUAGUUAAUUCGUAUUAAAAUAUUAUUAAAUUUUUAAUAAAAUAAUCAAAAAUAAUUUUAUUUUUUAAUUUCGGAUAGAAUUUUUAACCAAUUUUGUCACGCUAUGUGUCAUUUUUCGAAAGUACAAUUUUUGUAGAAGAUGGUUAGGUAUUUAUAUAAAAAAAUGGGUUUUUUCUGUAUUUUUAAACAAUUUUUAUAAUUUUUUAUUAAGUCAAUUAAUCUGGCUCGUUGCAUUUCAAAAAGGUUGAAAUCCAACAACCCAAAAGUGGACAUAUGGCCCAUGGUGAGAUUCUGACAAAAUUUUUUUUUUAGGCUGGAAUGCUUACUACAUUCAAAAUGUUGUUUUCAUUGAUUAAAUGUGAACUAGUGAAUGGUGAUUAUGAUUAAGUAUGCUCAAGGGUAAGGAUUGCUUAAAUCUAUGUAAGUGAUGAUCUUUGGCAAGUCAUGUUUCAUUAAAAAUCCCUGAGGCAAUUGUUGGAAGGUCUAGGUUGUGUUUUGUUUUGUUUUGUUUUGUUUGUUUUGUUUUGCUCGAGGACUAGCAAAAGCUAAGUAUGGGGGAAUUUGAUAGGAGCAUAUUUAUGUGACUUAGUUGGCUUGUUUCUUGGCAUUUAUGUUGUUAGUUCGUAGUUAUUUUAGUAUUUUAAGCUAUUUUCGUGUGUUUGAAGGUCCAAAGGGUUAAUGUGGCAAGGAAGUGCAUUUUGGAGUAUUUUUGGACAUGGAAUGGAUAGCAUAUGCUUGGAGCAAAAGGAAUAGACGAAAUUUGAAGUUUGUGCAUCAUCCUCUCUCUAUAAAUAACCAUUUUAGUACACUCAUUUCACCCAACACAUUCACCUACCACUACAUCCACUCAUUUCACCCAACACAUCCAUUCACCUACCACUACAUCCACUCAUUUCACCCAACACAUCCACUCAUUACAACCACCCAACACAUUCACCUAUGAUAGGAGCAUAUUUAUGCGCCUUAGUUUAGCUUGUUCUUGUGCAUUUAUAGUGUUUUUACUUAGUAAAGUAGUCUUUUAAGCUAGUUUUAUGUGUUUUCAGGUUCUAAGGGCAAAGUAUGCAAAGAGGUGCGAAAUUGAGCAUUUUAGAGCAAAAUUGAGCUGGAAUGGAGUGUAUGCUAAUGGAGCACAAGGAAUGGACGAGUUUGAAGGUCAAAGGAGCUUAAGAAAUGAAGAAAUGCAAGUGAAGAACAAAGAAUUCAGAUUUGGAAACCAAAGUUUCUAAAGUUGGAAGUUUCUAUUCUUGGAGGUUUCCAUUUUCGAGAGUUUCUAUUCUUGGCUUUGGGCUUUUAGAUGACCUAAACCCUAAUUCCUUGUGGACCCUAACCCUAGCCGCACCUAGGCCUCUAGAAUAUCUGAUUUCCUUGCCUUGCAAGGCGUUCUAGAAGGCCCAUCUCUAAACCCUAACCCUAGCCGCACCUUAGGCCUUAUUCCCACUAAAAAUCUGAUUGUUUUAACCUAAUUUCUAGUGGAUUUGGGCUUCUAGAAACCCUAAUCUGAUUACCCUAGGGUUUUGGAUGCCUAUAUAUACUCAUUACAACCCCUAGAUCAGAUCACAACCCUCUCCAUAAUCCAGAAAUUAAUCCUUCACGCCAGAAACCAUUCCCCAUCUUCA
rnacentral:lncRNA from 1 species